rnacentral:rRNA from 1 species
UGAGUAAUACAUCGGAACGUGUCUUCUAGUGGGGGAUAACUGCCCGAAAGGGCAGCUAAUACCGCAUGAGACCUGAGGGUGAAAGCGGGGGAUCGCAAGACCUCGCGCUGGAAGAGCGGCCGAUGUCCGAUUAGCUAGUUGGUGAGGUAAAGGCUCACCAAGGCGACGAUCGGUAGCUGGUCUGAGAGGACGACCAGCCACACUGGGACUGAGACACGGCCCAG